rnacentral:rRNA from 1 species
CAUGUGAACUUACCUUUUGUUGCCUCGGCAGAAGUUAUAGGUCUUCUUAUAGCUGCUGCCGGUGGACCAUUAAACUCUUGUUAUUUUAUGUAAUCUGAGCGUCUUAUUUUAAUAAGUCAAAACUUUCAACAACGGAUCUCUUGGUUCUGGCAUCGAUGAAGAACGCAGCGAAAUGCGAUAAGUAAUGUGAAUUGCAGAAUUCAGUGAAUCAUCGAAUCUUUGAACGCACAUUGCGCCCAUUAGUAUUCUAGUGGGCAUGCCUGUUCGAGCGUCAUUUCAACCCUUAAGCCUAGCUUAGUGUUGGGAAUCUACUUCUCUUAGGAGUUGUAGUUCCUGAAAUACAACGGCGGAUUUGUAGUAUCCUCUGAGCGUAGUAAUUUUUUUCUCGCUUUUGUUAGGUGCUAUAACUCCCAGCCGCUAAACCCCC